rnacentral:rRNA from 1 species
GUCGAACGAUGAAGCCCAGCUUGCUGGGCGGAUUAGUGGCGAACGGGUGAGUAACACGUGAGUAACCUGCCCCCGACUUCGGGAUAACUACGAGAAAUCGUGGCUAAUACCGGAUAUGACACGUGCCUGCAUGGGUGUGUGUGGAAAGAUUUAUCGGUUGGGGAUGGGCUCGCGGCCUAUCAGCUUGUUGGUGGGGUGAUGGCCCACCAAGGCGACGACGGGUAGCCGGCCUGAGAGGGUGACCGGCCACACUGGGACUGAGACACGGCCCAGACUCCUACGGGAGGCAGCAGUGGGGAAUAUUGCACAAUGGGCGAAAGCCUGAUGCAGCGACGCCGCGUGAGGGAUGACGGCCUUCGGGUUGUAAACCUCUUUCAGUAGGGAAGAAGCCUUCGGGUGACGGUACCUGCAGAAGAAGCGCCGGCUAACUACGUGCCAGCAGCCGCGGUAAUACGUAGGGCGCAAGCGUUGUCCGGAAUUAUUGGGCGUAAAGAGCUCGUAGGCGGUUUGUCGCGUCUGCUGUGAAAACGCAAGGCUUAACCUUGCGCCUGCAGUGGGUACGGGCAGACUAGAGUGCGGUAGGGGAGACUGGAAUUCCUGGUGUAGCGGUGGAAUGCGCAGAUAUCAGGAGGAACACCGAUGGCGAAGGCAGGUCUCUGGGCCGUUACUGACGCUGAGGAGCGAAAGCAUGGGGAGCGAACAGGAUUAGA